rnacentral:rRNA from 1 species
UACGGGGGGGGCAAGCGUUGUUCGGAAUUACUGGGCGUAAAGGGUUCGUAGGUGGCCAACUAAGUCAGACGUGAAAUCCCUCAGCUCAACUGGGGAACUGCGUCUGAUACUGGUUGGCUUGAGUGCAGGAGAGGAACGCGGAAUUCCAGGUGUAGCGGUGAAAUGCGCAGAGAUCGGGAGGAACAUUCGUAGUGAAGGCGGCAUUUUGGGUUGGUAUUGACGUUGAGGAGCGAAAGCGUGGGGAGCAAACAGG